GUCCACGCCCGUAAACGAUGAGCACUAGGUGUCGCGGGUAUUGACCCCUGCGGUGCCGACGCUAACGCAUUAAGUGCUCCGCCUGGGGACUACGGCCGCAAGGUUAAAACUCAAAGGAAUUGACGGGGGCCCGCACAAGCGGUGGAGCAUGUGGUUCAAUUCGACGCAACGCGAAGAACCUUACCUGGGCUAGACAACGGAGGCCCGCCCCAGAGAUGGGGCCGUUCCCUUCGGGACUUCCGGUUCAGGUGCUGCAUGGCUGUCGU
rnacentral:rRNA from 1 species